CUCCAGCAUUUAUUGCUUGCAGAUUUUUGGAUUGCAGCCAUUCUGACUGGUGUGAAGUGGUACCUCAUUGUGGUUUUGAUUUGCAUUUCUCUAAUAAUGAGUGAUAUUGAGCAUCUUUUCAUGUGUUUGUUAGCCAUCCGUAUGUCUUCUUUGGAGAAAUGUCUAUUUAGUUCUUUGGCCCAUUUUUUGAUUGGGUCGUUUAUUUUUCUGGAAUUGAGCUGCAUAAGUUGCUUGUAUAUUUUGAGAUUAGUUGUUUGUCAGUUGCUUCAUUUGCUAUUAUUUUCUCCCAUUCCGAAGGCUGUCUUUUCACCUUGCUUAUAUUUUCCUUUGUUGUGCAGAAGCUUUUAAUUUUAAUUAGAUCCCAUUUGUUUAUUUUUGCUUUUAUUUCCAGAAUUCUGGGAGGUGGAUCAUAGAGGAUCCUGCUGUGAUUUAUGUCUGAGAGUGUUUUGCCUAUGUUCUCCUCUAGGAGUUUUAUAGUUUCUGAUCUUACAUUUAGAUCUUUAAUCCAUUUUGAGUUUAUUUUUGUGUGCGGUGUUAGAAAGUGAUCUAGUUUCAUUCUUUUACAAGUGGUUGACCAGUUUUCCCAGCACCACUUGUUAAAGAGAUUGUCUUUACUCCAUUGUAUAUUCUUGCCUCCUUUGUCAAAGAUAAGGUGUCCAUAUGUGUGUGGAUUUAUCUCUGGGCUUUCUAUUUUGUUCCAUUGAUCUAUAUGUGUGUCUUUGUG
ensembl:lncRNA